rnacentral:rRNA from 1 species
UACGAAGGGGGCUAGCGUUGCUCGGAAUUACUGGGCGUAAAGGGCGCGUAGGCGGAUACUUAAGUCGGGGGUGAAAGCCCAGGGCUCAACCCUGGAAUAGCCUUCGAUACUGGGUAUCUUGAGUUCGGGAGAGGUGAGUGGAACUCCGAGUGUAGAGGUGAAAUUCGUAGAUAUUCGGAAGAACACCAGUGGCGAAGGCGACUCACUGGCCCGAUACUGACGCUGAGGUGCGAAAGCAUGGGGAGCGAACAGG